rnacentral:rRNA from 1 species
UACGUAGGUGGCGAGCGUUGUCCGGAUUUACUGGGCGUAAAGAGCGCGCAGGCGGUCGUGCAAGUCGCGUGUGAAAGCCCCCGGCUCAACUGGGGAGGGUCACGCGAUACUGCUCGACUUGAAGGCAGGAGAGGGAAGUGGAAUUCCCGGUGUAGUGGUGAAAUGCGUAGAGAUCGGGAGGAACACCAGAGGCGAAGGCGGCGACCUGGACAGGCACUGACACUCAACUACGAAAGCGUGGGGAGCAAACAGG